rnacentral:rRNA from 1 species
GACGAACGCUGGCGGCGUGCUUAACACAUGCAAGUCGAACGCUGAAGCUCAGCUUUUGUUGGGUGGAUGAGUGGCGAACGGGUGAGUAACACGUGAGUAACCUGCCUCCUUCUUUGGGAUAACGCCCGGAAACGGGUGCUAAUACUGGAUAUUCACUGGUCUUCGCAUGGGGGUUGGUGGAAAGGGUUUUUCUGGUGGGGGAUGGGCUCGCGGCCUAUCAGCUUGUUGGUGGGGUGAUGGCCUACCAAGGCUUUGACGGGUAGCCGGCCUGGGAGGGUGACCGGUCACAUUGGGACUGAGAUACGGCCCAGACUCCUACGGGAGGCAGCAGUGGGGAAUAUUGCACAAUGGGCGCAAGCCUGAUGCAGCGACGCCGCGUGAGGGAUGGAGGCCUUCGGGUUGUGAACCUCUUUCGCCCAUGGUCAAGCCGCAACAAUGGUUGUGGUGAGGGUAGUGGGUAAAGAAGCGCCGGCUAACUACGUG